rnacentral:rRNA from 1 species
GGUUGAUCCUGCCAGUAGUCAUAUGCUUGUUUCAAAGAUUAAGCCAUGCAUGUCUAAGUAUAAACAUCUUUAUACCGUGAAACUGCGUACAGCUCAUUAUAUCAGUAAUUCUUUCUUUGAUGGUUUUUUACUACAUGGAUAACCGUAGUAAUUCUAGAGCUAAUACAUGCCAUAAAAUCUCGACGCAAGAAGAGAUGGAUUUAUUAGAUACAGAACCAAUGGUAGCAAUACCUUUUGGUGAUUCAUGAUAACUUUACAGAGCGUAUGACUUUAUGUUGACGCCAGUUCAUUCA